rnacentral:rRNA from 1 species
CCUACGGGGGGCAGCAGUGGGGAAUUUUGGACAAUGGGCGCAAGCCUGAUCCAGCUAUUCCGCGUGUGGGAUGACGGCCCUCGGGUUGUAAACCACUUUAGUAGAGAACGAAAAGGAGCUAUCGAAUAAAUAGCUCUGCUGACGGUACUCUAAGAAAAAGCAUCGGCUAACUCCGUGCCAGCAGCCGCGGUAAUACGGAGGAUGCGAGCGUUAUCCGGAUUUAUUGGGUUUAAAGGGUGCGUAGGCGGUCCGUUAAGUCAGCGGUAAAAUUGCGGGGCUCAACCCCGUCGAGCCGUUGAAACUGGCAGACUUGAGUUGGCGAGAAGUACGCGGAAUGCGCGGUGUAGCGGUGAAAUGCAUAGAUAUCGCGCAGAACUCCGAUUGCGAAGGCAGCGUACCGGCGCCAGACUGACGCUGAGGCACGAAAGCGUGGGGAUCGAACAGGAUUAGAUACCCUGGUAGUC